CCCCCCGCACCUUUGGGUGGACCCGGAAUUGCGCUCAUUUAUGUGGCCAUUUGGAAGAUGCCCCCGUGCGCUGAGCCCCCCGUCCCCUCGGUUCCUCCCUUCUCCCUCUCCUCCCCCCACCCCUUCCCCUCCCUCUCCCCCCUUCUCCCUCGCCUGCCCCCCGCACCCACCUUGCUCUUCCCCCACCCCUUUCCCCUGAGCCUCACUCCCUAGUGAGCCGGCAGCCCUGAGCCUGUAUCUCAGGCGCUGCUUCCCGGAGAACAAGCUAAACACUCUUCACUCUCCGUCUGAGGGGCUGCUGCCACCAACACCACAGAGGGGGCGCACACAGACCUCCAUUGCUCACAGUCUGGCGGCUGCGUGUCUGAGGUCGGGCCGGCCGGGCCAGGUUCUUGCUAGGGCGGCUUCCUGGCCAGCAGGCGGUGGAGAGCGAGCUCUGGUCUCCUCCUCUUCCUAGGAGGGCACGCAUCCCCUCAUGUGGCCCCACCCUCAUGACCCCAUCUAACCCAAAUCACCUCCCAAAGGCCCACCUCCAGAUGUCAUCACAGUGAGGCUUGGGUUUCCACAAAGGGCACGGUCCGUCCCCGGUAAAUAUACACGCAAGAGCUUAAGGCUCUCAAAGUCAUAUCAUGGAAAACAUUAGAUUUCCUUAAACGUUAAUAUGCAUCUUAUUUGUAUUUAAAAGGGUUUAACAGACAACCCUCUCUCAAAAUGAUGCCAGGCAAGCCGAGAGAGAUCAUCACCCAUUCUUGUAAUCCAAAGCUUUAAAAAUUCCUUUCCUGGCUGGACGCAGUGGCUCACGCCUGUAAUCCCAGCACUUUGGGAGGCCGAGGCCCGCAGAUCACCUGAGGUCAGGAGUUGGAAGCCAACCUGACCAACAUGGUGAAACCGUGUCUCUACUAAAAAUACAAAAAUUAGCUGGGCGUCGUGGCAUCUGCCUGUAAUCCCAGCUACCACAGAGACUGAGGCAGGAGAAUCACCCACAUCUGGGGGGCGGAGGUUGCAGUGAGCCGAGAUCUCACCAUUGCACUCCCACCUGGACAACAAGAGUGAAACUCCAUCUCAAAAAAAAAAGUCCUUUCCUUCUCUGGAUGUGCAAGGAGCAGGAAACUGACCACAGCCAGCCAGAGCCAUUUCCAGGUCCCUCCGCUGAAGCGCUCCUGAGCACUCCCUACCUUCCCUGCCCAGCACCCUUCCCUCCCGAGUCCCACCUCGAUUCUCUUCCGGAGACACGCAGCCUGGGCUCCGUGGGCUGCCCUACCCUGCCCUCCGAGAUGGUCCCGUGACCCAGGCCUGGCCGAUGAGAGCACCCAAUGCCCCGCUGCAGUGAUGGGCUCAGAGGUGGGCACAAGGCCCCAGCCAGUGCAAGCGUCUCAAUCAGAGGCUCCUGUUUGAACUGCUGGGAAGAGGAAAUCUCAGAGUAGACUUGAGGCUGCAAAGAAAUGACCGUGGCUGCCAGGAGCUGGCAGGAGGAGAAAUCUGGGGGACUCAUUUCAGAGGAAGGCAUAGCCCCAGCAGCUCCAACCAGCACGGGCCCCGCCUGCUGACCAGCAAUGCCGCUUAGCCUUUCGCCAGCCUGGGAAUUUUCAAGGCUCCACGAUUUCAUCGCAAACAGCAAGCGCUCCACCUAGUGGACAGAAGCCGGAGCUGCCUCCCGAGACGGUGAGGACCAGCUGCAGGGUUCAUCCAGCCGGGGCUGGAGCCUCUGCUUCCUUCUCCGGCAAGUCCCACUCCCUUCACUGACGACAGGAGGCAGCGGCAUCAGGAAGACGUCACCGUGGUUCUUCAAACCCAAGAGUCAAACCUGUCCACAGGGUCGAUGGUUACACAAUUCUCUCGUUUCCGUAAACUGCCCCUACGCCAAGGUUUAUUUACUCUAAAGAGGUGUGGGGUCCUGGCAGCAGGGGCCCAAGGAGGCGUGGAUUCCGCCAGGACGAGGGGUGUGACGGCCUCACCUGCGUCUCACGCUGGCUUUGCAACCACAGGUUUGGGAAAAUAAAUGAAACACAUUAUUCACUGUG